rnacentral:rRNA from 1 species
GACGGAGGGGGCUAGCGUUGUUCGGAAUGACUGGGCGUAAAGGGCGCGUAGGCGGUUUUUUAAGUGAGGCGUGAAAGCCCUGGGCUUAACCCAGGAGGUGCGCUUCAUACUGAAAAGCUUGAGUGCGAGAGAGGAAAGUGGAAUUCCUAGUGUAGAGGUGAAAUUCGUAGAUAUUAGGAAGAACACCAGUGGCGAAGGCGACUUUCUGGCUCGUAACUGACGCUGAGGCGCGAAAGCGUGGGGAGCAAACAGG